rnacentral:misc_RNA from 1 species
GAAAUGCGAUAAGUAAUGUGAAUUGCAGAAUUCAGUGAAUCAUCGAAUCUUUGAACGCACAUUGCGCCCGUCAGCAUUCUGGCGGGCAUGCCUGUUCGAGCGUCAUUUCAACCCUCAGGACCCCCCUUUCGCGGGGAGGGACCUGGCGUUGGGGAUCGGCCCGCCCCCCGUGGCGGCGCCGUCCCCGAAAUCUAGUGGCGGUCUCGCUGCAGCCUCCCCUGCGUAGUAGUUACAACCUCGCAUCGGAGCGCGGCGCGGCCACGCCGUAAAACCCCCGACUUUCUGAUCGUUGACCUCGGAUCAGGUAGGAAUACCCGCUGAACUUAAGC